UACGGAGGAUCCGAGCGUUAUCCGGAUUUAUUGGGUUUAAAGGGAGCGUAGGUGGACAGUUAAGUCAGUUGUGAAAGUUUGCGGCUCAACCGUAAAAUUGCAGUUGAUACUGGCUGUCUUGAGUACAGUAGAGGUGGGCGGAAUUCGUGGUGUAGCGGUGAAAUGCUUAGAUAUCACGAAGAACUCCGAUUGCGAAGGCAGCUCACUGGACUGCAACUGACACUGAUGCUCGAAAGUGUGGGUAUCAAACAGGAUUAGAUACCCGGGUAGUCC
rnacentral:rRNA from 1 species